UGGGGGGCGACGUCCAUCUUCUCCGUAAAACCCUACGCAUCCAAUUCUAUGAUUUAACGUUAAACCUUUGGACUCUGCUUCUGUUCUCAACUGGCUGUUCCUGUUUCAAACCCAAUCUCUCUCUCUCUCUCCAAAGAAUGGGUAAAAUCCAUUGAGACGACAAAGAAUCGGCAAAUGAUUGGUAACGAACUACUAAGAAUCCUUCUUUUCGUUGAUUGACUGAACUGAAAGUUGUUUGGGGCUUUGAAAUGAAAGCUCUGAGAGCUCUCAAAACUCUCACCGCCUUUUCUUCUUCGAAGCCCACUAAAUCCCUCCCCAAUUCGGCACUUCUGCGGCGGUUUUACUCUGCUCAGCCUCAGCAAGACAACCCCGCCGCCGCCGCUGAAGAUGACGCCACCGAUGACUCUGUCUUCGACAGUGCCCAAUACACUCUUCCUAACAUGGGUUUGGAUUCUGGGGCUGAAGAAGUAACUCGGCAACCUAGUUGGGAGGAGAAGUACAGGGCUAAAGCCAAUCGGGCUAUUUUUGGAGAAGAAACCCAGGUUGAGAGUACGAGAAUUCUGGAAAAGGAAGACGAGAAGAGGCGGCGAGCUGCUGCUCUCGCAAAGGCUUUGCUCCAAGCGGCUCUGCGGCAGCCGGACGAGGAAGAAGAGGAAGAUUUGGUGGUGAAGGAAGAAGACCAGAAGUCAUUGACUGUCGGCAUUAUUGGAGCACCUAAUGCUGGGAAGUCGGCCUUGACCAAUUACAUGGUUGGGACAAAAGUUGCUGCUGUUUCUCGCAAGACAAACACAACUACUCAUGAAGUAUUAGGAAUUAUGACCAAAGGAAACACUCAAAUAUGUUUCUUCGACACUCCAGGGCUCAUGCUAAGUAAGAGUGGCUACCCCUACAAUGAUGUGAAAGUGCGUGUUGAAAGUGGAUGGGCUUCUGUUAACCUAUAUGAUGUGCUCAUAGUUAUAUUUGAUGUUCACAGGCAUCUUAACAGGCCUGAUGGAAGAGUGGUUAGAUUGAUUAAUCAUUUGGGUGCACAAGUGAAGCCAAAUCAGAGAAGAGUCUUAUGCAUGAAUAAGGUGGACUUGGUUGAGAAAAAGAAAGAUUUAUUGAAGGUUGCCGAAGAAUUUAAGGAUCUGCCUGGAUAUGAAAGGUAUUUCAUGAUAUCUGGGUUGAAGGGUUCUGGCGUAAAAGAUCUUAAUCAGUAUUUAAUGGAACAGGCAUUUAAAAGACCUUGGGAUGAAGAUCCUUUUACAAUGAGUGAAGAAGUUAUGAAAACCAUAUCCUUGGAAGUUGUCCGUGAAAGGUUGUUGGACUAUGUACAUCAGGAAAUCCCAUAUAACAUAGAACAUUGCUUGAUAGAUUGGAAGGAAUUACGAGAUGGUUCCCUUAGGAUUGAGCAACAUUUCAUCACUCACAAGAUGAGCCAGCGCAAGAUUCUUGUCGGGAAGAACGGCUCUAAAAUAGGGAGAAUAGGCACUGAAGCCAAUGAAGAGCUAAGGUCCAUAUUUAAGAGAAAUGUUCACCUCAUUCUUCAGGUUAGAGUAAAAUGAUUGCUGCUGGAAAAUGAAGCAGAUGUUGCCUUCACAAGUUCUACUACCAAGCAAUUUUGGAUCUUGAAUUCAUCAAACAACCAACGCAAGGGCUUUUUGGUCAUUUCAUGGCCUUGGGCAAUGAAUUCAGGCUGUGUUCGGGUCGAAUAUCAUUAUUCAACCAAUGAGGGAUACUGCAAGCCAACCCUCUCCCUUUCUGUUUCCAUUCCCAGAAUAUGCAACAGCCAAAGGUUCACAGCCCCAGACAGAAAGUCAGUUUCCACUCACGACCAAAGCGCUGGCGCACCUUUGCCAUUUUCGGUUUUAGUCUUUAUGAGGGCUCUUUUGCAUCUACCAAUGGGCUCAUUUCUGUACAAAAAAGAGGGUGCACAAGAGAAUUAGGACUUGGUACAGGGAAGCUUCCUUUUCCAAAUCUCUAUGCCAUUAUGUAUAAGUAUGCAGUCAGGUUUACGUAUGUGCGUGCAUGGUCAUGACCCUUGUGGGUUUUGACAAUGAUAUUGCCUUUAAAUGGGAACACCAUAUUACUAGUUAACAUA